CUCUCUGCUCUGGUCUGUCAACACACUCGCGUCACAUGAUUCGUCUGCGUCCAUUGACGUUUCUGUAAUAACCAUCAGUCCCGACAGUGGCUUCAAAGCUUCUGCCUCCAGCACAUAUAUCACGGUGUCAACGCGGAGGACGUCGCCCCCCCCCCCCCCUCUUCCCGGAAACGUCCAGUUAAAACACAAGUGCCUUCACUCUCUCUCCAGACCAAAAUAAAUAACCAGCGAGCCCCGGCCCAGCCACAUUCCUUUCCAUUGCCUUGAUUCCCCCCCCAGAGCUGAUGCGUCUGCUGCAUGCCGAGCUUCUCCCCUUCUCCCCUUCUCCCAUCGAGUGGCGUGGUCGAGCGUUGGAUGGGGGCUGAUUGUGAUCACCGAGGUGAGACCCUUCCUCUGGGGUCGGGACGCUUCCCAAGGCAUCAAUCAUGGUCCAUCAUCGCCCCUCUCGUCAGACUGGCCAUGGUUGCACUUCCUGAUUCCUUUCUUGGUUGGUAGCGCUGUAACAUGAAGACUUAGAAAAUCAUGGCGAUGGUGAUGGAUUUAUUAAUAUUUUGUAAAUUUAGCUUGAUGAGCUGUUAAGGGGUUCCCAUGUUUUUGUCAAAGACACGAUCACCUUCCGAAAAUUAAUAAUAAAUGUUCAUUUGUUUGUUUGUUUCCAGUUUUCAGGCAUCGGUCAUGGCCUCUGCACACGAAUCUUUGUCCAAAAAGGUUCAACUAUAUUUAUUUUUUAGAAAAAUCCCAAAUACAAAUACAUAUUAGCUGGGGUAUCUGGGUAGUUUAUUAGCCAUGACGGGAAAGAAAACAAAUAUCACAAAACUUGAAUUAGUUGCAUCACACAGAAAUGAAUUCAUACCUUCUGAUUCAAGCACACUCUCCUCACAUUAAAGUUCCACGAGGCAACUUUUCAUGCUGACGGCUCAAUAUACGUAAUAAAUUUACAGGGUGGGCUGGAGGAACGGAGGUCAGUGAACGCCUCGCGGCCAAUGUGAACUCUGUGUCUCUUUUAGCGAAUGGCCCGGAUAUAUUUUAAGAGGUUCCGCAGUCGGACAGUUGGUUGAACGGUGCGAGACUUGUUUUGAGCUGCAUGAAGUGGAUGCGGAAUAAGUGAGUGUGUUAGUGGGCCAUUGUUUCAAAGUUUUGUUUUUCUAAAAAAUUCAUGGUGUUGACCUUUAAACGACCGUAUGUCUUUUGUUUCACGCUCAUGUUGUUCUGAUAUCACACAUGAAUCGUGUUGAAUAGAGUCUUUAUGUCUUGAAACACUAUCAAACCAUUCAUAUCGCUUUCUGCGUAUUCUUUUUUUUCAUAUGUAAUUUUUCCUCGACUGUUUACAAAAUCCGUAACGAAGAUCUGCUGCUCAAUAGGCACAUAGACAUUUUAAUUCCUUCGUGUGACUGAAUCGCAGAUUGAACCGUCAAACCGUCUCACACGCUCUUGCAAGUUUUUCAUUUCACAUUUUUUUUCCCCGCGGGCAAAAUAAACUUUCGCGAGUUUGACAGGUAGAGCCGCGGUUGUUUGGGAUUUUUUUGAAAUGGGAAAAACUGCGAACAUGCAAUAUUCCGUUUGAAUUCGGUCUAUCUGCUUUCAACUCGGCUAUUCUGUCUUGCUCCAUAUUGAUCACAUGUUGUGUCCGUGAACGCCGGCGGCGAGCGCUCGAGAAUCGAUGGGAGUCGAAGAGUCGAGGUCAGCGCGUCUUCGUGCUGUCUGUGUGUCUGUGCAUGUGCGCCGCGGUGAAGCGACUGACCGCGCAGCAGCUUCAGCCAUCGCAUCAACUUCAGUCCCAGUGAGAAGGGGAAGAGGAAAAGAUGGAGCAACGCUCUGAACUCUCCUGGAGCACAGCGACCGAAUGCAUGAAAAGACCCGUUGCGCUGAAUGGAUGGACGUUGUGUGAAUGGCACAGAGCACGUGUGAGGUCCGGUGCAUUGUGGGGCUGUAAUAUGUGACCGACCGACAGCCCCCAUGUAGAAGAAAUAUUCCUGUACUUUUGCAGCAUUUACAUAAAACCGAGACCGUCAGGUUUUUUUAUUUUUUACAUUGUAGACGUUGGCAUCGCACCAAGUCUCCUUUUCUCAGCUUUUUACCCAUAAAUCUGCCUCCGUCCUCCCGCCGGGCGACCCCCCCCCCCCCCCCGCGCAGAGCCAGCGGAAACGUGGUACAUUUCUGCCCAAGUCGUGGCAGCACAACCUGGGUUGGAAAGCUUAGAUUUCUCCCAGCUGAAAGGGAGUAAAUAUCUGUCUAGAAUGUUACAUGGAGUCAAAAUAAAAUAAGGCCAAAAGACGGAUCCUGUAAAAACCUGGACUGAAACUGGAGAAGGAGUCAGACGCCAUAUUUUGAGUGACAUAAACAGGCUGCAGCCAUUGUUUGGCACAAUGUGAAGAAACGUCACCUGGGAUAUGUCUAAAAUAUAGUUUUUGAAUGGGUUGGGCAGGGGUACGUUCAAAGGAGAUAAAUAUAUAGUUAAAUUGACUUAGACAGACUCAUAUUUUAGUGACAAUGUUUAUUCUUGACCUUGGGAAUAGGAAAUUGUUCUCAAUCUAAAUUAAAGAUGUGUAAAUGAGCUUUUUCUCGAGCUGGUCUUCAAAGUUUGCUCGACAUUAAAAAAAGAAGGAAAGUAAACUUCACUGAUCAAUAUCCAACUGUUAGUUAUUAUGAUAAUGCUUUCAAUUACACCAUAACCAAGUAAUGUGUAUUAAGGAAACUAAGGAAUAUUCACUGUACAGUCUUUAUGCUAAGCUAAGGUAUGUAGCCAUCGUAACCCUUGUGGUUGUUGAUUGACAUACAGGCAAAUUGUAUUUGAGGCAUUUUGUAAGUUGUAUUUUCGCUCAU